GGGUCCUGCCUUCGCGUUCUCUCUGGCACGAGCUGCUUGGUGCAUGGGGUAGCUGGGCCCCCUAGUUCUGUGGAGGUUGAGCUGCUGUUGCAAGGCUCACUGACCAUCUCGUGUUUUCCCCUUUUUCCUCUAGUGGCGCAAGAAGCGAAUGCGCAGGCUGAAGCGCAAAAGGAGAAAGAUGAGGCAGAGAUCCAAGUAGGCGUCUUCUGUGUUGCUACUGAGGCUGCAAAGCAGAGCAUAUGAUGUUGGAGCUUGGGAUGCUGAAAUCCUUCAGAUGUGCCUACUUCCGGAUGUUGAAAGAGGGCUUCUUACUGUCUUCAAGAGUUUUCAAUCUUAGGAAUGAAGGGCUCAUCUGUAUGGGUGAUAGCCCUGAGUUUUGACAUUCUGGACUGGCUCUGGUCUUUGUAGUUCAAUGUAGCAGGUAUACAAUAAACCCUGGUUUGGUUGGGAAUUCA